rnacentral:rRNA from 1 species
UACGUAGGAUCCGAGCAUUAUCCGGAGUGACUGGGCGUAAAGAGUUGCGUAGGUGGCGUCUUAAGUAGCUAGUGAAAUCUGGUGGCUCAACCAUUCAGACUGUUAGCUAAACUGGGAUGCUCGAGAGCGUCAAGGGUAACUGGAAUUUCUAGUGUAGGAGUGAAAUCCGUAGAUAUUAGAAGGAACACCGAUAGCGUAGGCAGGUUACUGGGGCGUUUCUGACACUAAGGCACGAAAGCGUAGGGAGCAA